rnacentral:lncRNA from 1 species
GGUUAUAGGUCAUGCAAAGAUGGCGAGCACCAUGGACUUUUUCCCCGGUGGUGCCGAAGACGAUUUCGACGACGACGAUGAUGAUGGAUUUAUCCUAGGCUGUGACAACAAUCAUAUAAAUUAUGACCAUCCAAAAGCUUCACAGUGGAGCAAUGGAGAUGUAAAUGUAAUUUAUCUUUGUUCCAGUAUCCCUGAAUCUGUAACAUCGAGACCUUCCAAGAUUUUAAAAUUUUGUCCAAAAUUCAACACCCAAGGUUAAAGAGAAUAUAGAAAUAUGGGCAUUACUGGACUUCUACUUGUGUCAGUUCAACCUCACUUAAGUUGGGGUCCAUUGCUUAAAUGCUCAAGGGGUAUGAGAAGGGGGCGUUAAAUUUGUUUUGGUAAGUUUUUUUGUUUUUUUUUAUGCAUCAACUCUCUGCAUGGUCUAUAUGUAGUUUUUAAAGUCAAAAUGUCCCUCCCUAUCCUAAAUGCCUCAUUUUUCAUUUGCAGUCCAGAAAGUCAGAGAUUACUCUGACGUCCAAUGGCUGUUUUGCCAGACAAGCUGGGGCCGUGGGAUGUUUGAGCUCGUUCCAUACCAAAAAGUGGAUAUUUGUCCGUCAAAAAUAGAUGCGCUGCUUCGUCGCUUCUGGUGCCAACUAAAGGCCUUGGAAUUAUAUAAAUCGGGUAUCAAUUUGUUCAUUUUUCAUUUAUCUCUUCAUUUAUUUAAGUUUCACCUACCUGCCACCCUUUAUUUUGUUAUAUUCAGACAGUUUUCACAGUAACCCAUCUUUUCAGAAAUUUUGACUUUUAUUUUCAAAUGGACAUCAAGUUACGAGAGACCUUGCGACCUCGAGACACAAAUAUGCAAAUAUUUAUGCUUUUUUCCAGUUAACAUUUAGUAGCCAACCACGAUUUUUCACCUCCUUUAGAGGAGAUCGGUAUUAAGCAUUUAGUAGCCAACCACAAUAACAGACUGAAGCUCUCGGACAAUUAGAUUAUUUGCAUUGUAAAUGAACGAGGUGUUCGAUUACAUGUAUGGUCAUUGGCAUAAAUCAUCACGAGGUCUGACGUCCCACAGCCCCAGCUUGUCUGGCAAAACAGCCGUUGGACAUCAGAGUAAUCUCGGACUAAGCCCAGAUUACCUGCCUUUUACCCUGGUCUAGACCCUAUCUAUCAUUUGCCUAUGGUAGAAAUAAACCAAAAUAGCUACAACUUUUGGUAUAAACUUUUCUGAGCGCUUACAUUUUUGUACAUCAUUGUACAUGUACAUGUAGCGGUCAGACUGAGAUUUUUCAAAGGAUCAAUGUAGCUGGGUAUCUAUUAGUAAAAUUCUCUGAAAGCACUGUUAAACAGGUCGAGAACUCUAGAUUUCUUUACGUCAGAAUAUAUUUGCAUAGUAAUUUCCAAAACACAAGGCCAAUACGGCCUUGAAAAACUGGCCAAUCGACUCAAUGAGCUACAAUGCAUUGUGGGCUACUACGAGUUUACUACAACCGGAAAACACGUGGAAUUAGUGGAAGAACUAUCAACUAAUAUAGUGUCUGGGAUUCUCAAAAUAUAUGUUUUUGUUCUGCGAAUGUGAUUAUUGUAAAUUAUAUAACAUAAUCUUCAAUUUUCAUGCUCAGAUUAAAAAAGUAUUGUUUACGGGCUUCACUAUAAUACUUUCUUUUUCGCCUUGUUAAAGUUGUUGAACAGGUUUUUUCCCCAUUGUUAUGCAUUGUACCUGUGCAAUAAUUAUUUUACGACCUGAAACAGUGAAAUUUCAGAUGAAAUGGCCACUGUCCACUAUGAUUUUUUUUAGCUCUUUUAAACCUGUAUAAUGUCAUUCCAAAAUCAUUUCUGCCUAGAAAAACACGAAAACUUUCAUUGAAACACUUCUUUCUGUAUUGGAUGUGUAAAAUUUUUAUCAGGACCUGAACUGAAAGUUAGAACAUCAUAGUAUUCAGUAUGCUAAAAAUAAGUGUUAUGAUAGCGGCAGGGCGGAUCCAGCCAUUUUAAAAAGGGGGUCCUAACCCAGGACAAAAACGGGUGGGGGUUCCAACUACAUGUCCCUAUUCAAAUGCAUUGAUCGUUCAAAAAGAGGGGGUCAAACCCCCGGACCCCCCCUUUUGGAUCCGCCACUAGCGGUACGGUAUAAUAUGCUUAAUAAUUUUGUAUAGCUUCAUCCAUCGAUAAAAAAAAGUCAUUUUGUUGCUUAUUCUAUCACAAAAUAUACCUCAGAGUUUUUUUAUCGUUCGGCUGCUGUCAUGUUGACGUAUGUGAAAUAUCUCCAAUAUUUAAAACCUCUGGAUCACAGUGGGUGCUAUAUUACCUAUUAUUUUUAUUCUAAAACGGGCUUUGUAUAUAGAAAUAAGAAGAUGAGGUAUGAGUGCCAAAUGAGACAUCUUUCCAAAAAAAACCGGCCCAAUAUAAUAUAUAUUCGGAGAAGAAAUAUAUCUAAUAAAUAAAAACGUAUAUAGGUUUGUAUAUAUAAGAUCCUGUAUUUCAGUGGUUGUAGUUUGUUUAUGUGUUACAUAUUUGUUUUUCGUUCAUUUUUUAGCUCACCUGGCCCGAAGGGCCAAGUGAGCUUUUCCCAUCACUUUGCGUCCGGCGUCCGUCGUCCUGCGUCCGUCGUCGUCCUGCGUCCGUCGUCGUUAACUUUUACAAAAAUAUUCUCCUCUGAAACUACUAAGCCAAAUUUAAUCAACUUGGCCACAAUCAUCAUUGGGGGUAUCUAGUUAAAAAAUGUGUCCGUGACCCCGCCAACCAACCAAGUGGCCGCAUGGCUAAAAAUAGAACAUAGGGUAAAAUGCAGUUUUGGCUUAUAACUCAAAAAACCAAAGCAUUUAGAGCAAAUCUGAAAGGUAACAUUGUUUAUCAGGUCAUGAUCUAUCUGCCAGAAAUUUUCAGAUGAAUCGGACAACCCGUUGAGGUUGCUGCCCCUGAAUUGGUAAUUUUAUGGAAAUUUUUGCUGUUUUUGGUUAUUUAUCUUGAAUAUUAUUAUAGAUAGAGAUAAACUGUAAACAGCAAUAAUGUUCAGCAAAGUAAGAUUUACAAAUAAGUCAACAUGACCGAAAUGGUCAGUUGACCCCUUAAGGAUUAUUGCCCUUUAUAGUCAAUUUUUAACCAUUUUUCGUAAAUCUUAGUAAUCUUUUACAAAAAUCUUCUCCUCUGAAACUACUGGGCUAAAUUAAUCCAAACUUGGCCACAAUCAUCUUUGGGGUAUGUAGUUCAAAAAAUGUGUCCGGUGACCCGGCCAUCCAACCAAGAUGGCUGCCACAGCUAAAUAUAGGACAUAGGGGUAAAAUGCAGUUUUUGGCUUAUAACUCAAAAAUCAAAGCAUUUAGAGCAAAUCUGACAUGGGGUAAAAUUGUGUAUCAGGUCAAGAUCUAUCUGCCAGAAAAUUUUCAGAUGAAUCGGACAACCCGUUGAUGGGUUGCUGCCCUGAAUUGGUAAUUUUUAUGGAAAUUUUGCUGUUUUUGGUUAUUAUCUUGAAUAUUAUAGAUAGAGAUAAACUGUAAACAGCAAUUUUAAUGUUCAGCAAAGUUAGAUUUACAAAUAAGUCAACAUGACCGAAAUGGUCAGUUGACCCCUUAAGGAGUUAUUGCCCUUUAUAGUCAAUUUUUAACCAUUUUUCGUAAAUCUUAGUGAUCUUUUACAAAAAUCUUCUCCUCUGAAACUACUGGGCCUAAAUUAAUCCAAACUUGGCCACAAUCAUCUUUGGGGUAUGUAGUUUAAAAAUGUGUCCGGUGACCCGGCCAUCCAACCAAGAUGGCUGCCAUGGCUAAAUAUAGGACAUAGGGGUAAAAUGCAGUUUUUGGCUUAUAACUCAAAAAUCAAGCAUUUUAGAGCAAAUCUGACGGAGUGAAAUUGUUUAUCAUGUCAAGAUCUAUCUGCCCUGAAAUUUUCAGAUGGAUCCGACAACCGGUUGUUGGGUUGCUGCCCCAUAAUUGGUAAUUUAAGAAAAUUUGACGUUUUUUGUUAUUAUCUUGAAUAUUAUUAUAGAUAGAGAUAAACUGUAAACAGCAAUAAUGUACAGCAAAGUAAGACCUAAAGAUAAGUCAAACAUGACAAAAAUGGUCAGUUGACCCCUAAGGAGUUAUUGUCCUUUAUAGUCAAUUUUUAACAAUUUUCAUAAAAUUUGUAAAUUUUUACUAACAUUUUCCACUGAAACUACUGGGCCAAGAUCAUUAUAGAUAGAGAUAAUUGUAAGGAGCAAGAAUGUUCAGUAAAGUAAGAUGUACAAACACAUCACCAUCACCUAAACACAAUUUUGUCAUGAAUCCAUCUGCUUCCUUUGUUUAAUAUUCACAUAUACCAAGGUGAGCGACACAGGCUCUUUAGAGCCUCUAGUUUUUUUAUAUAAUUAAGGCUGUAUGUUUUCUCGUUUGAAUUGUUUUACAUUGUCAUAUCGGGGCCUUUUAUAGCUGACUAUGCGGUAUAGGCUUUGCUCAUUGUUGAAGGCGGUACGGUGACUUAUAAAUUUUAAUUUCUGUGUCAUUUUGGUCUCUUGUGGACAGUUGUCCCUCUGGCAAUCAUACCACAUCUUCUUUUUUAUAUUAGUUCCAACGCUGCAAUUUUCACAAAACAUAUCAAAUUUUCCACCUCGUCGCACAUACAUAUGGAUAACAUCAUUACAGCUUAUUUCCUAAUGCAUGUAGAGCAAAACUUUGGUUAGCUUGCUUGCUUCGUUUGCAUAUUGUACAAUCAUAUUAGGAUAACAACCAAUUAAAUUCAAAUAUAAAAUAUACAAGUUAGACUAUGCCUAUAUAUAUUGUUUAAAGAUGUCAAUCUUAUUUUUAAAGCUUGUAUAAACAAAUAUACACACAAAGCAAGCAAGCCAACCCAAGUUUUACUUUGCAAGCAUUAGGAAAUCAGCUGUAAUGAUUUUAUUCAGUUUGGCAAAUGUCCGAGCCCGUUAAAAAACGAAAACAAAAUGCAACUACAGUUGCUGACUUCACUACCUUCAAAACAAAGAGAACAGUUUGGAAGUCUCAUAUACUGAAAUGUGACAAAAAUAAAUACUUAUAGAUUUUGUUAACACUUCCAUGUAUGUAAAUAUUUCUUCGCCUUUUUACGAACACAAAAUUCAAGGAUCACACAUUUGCCUUAAUUAUCAGUACGGAAAUUUCUGUACUCGUGAAUAUAAGCACAGGCUGUUAUCGACGGCUUACGUUACACUAGUAAGUUUGUCUCAUGGGUAAUUGUGUUUUUCGCUGUUGUUUCAUUGCUGUCUGGUGGACGAAUACAUGAAAUAUCCGUGCCAUCAUCAAACAUAUUAAUGGCUAUAUAUCAGGUUAAUUCAAACCCUUUUUUCUUCGCAUAGAAACAACUCUUCGUUAAUCUGAGCAUGGAAGGAAUACUUUGUAUCACGAACUGUAAAUGAGGAAACAUAAAAUGAAAAACUAAGCGAAAUUGUGAAUCCCGCAUUGCACGAAAAAAUGUGUUGUAUUUCAGUAACUAACACGUUUUCUCAGUUGAUUGUAAACACGUAGUAGUCCAUCAUGCAUUGUUACUCAUUUAGUGGAUUGGUCAAAAACCUAGGUAAAAAUAAAUUGCGUCACAUGUAAAUAAACAAUUACAUGUGCGAGAACAUAAGUAUGCUAAUUUAUGCAUUUCCUUAUAAGGUAGUGGUUAAAUGGUACCAAUUAUAACACCAGGGAUAACACUGCUGUUUUUAGCUCACCUGGCCCGAAGGGCCAAGUGAGCUUUUCCCAUCACUUGGCGUCCGUCGUCCGUCGUCGUCGUCCGUCGUCGUCCGUCGUCGUUAACUUUUACAAAAAUCUUCUCCUCUGAAACUACUGGGCCAAAUUAAACCAAACUUGGCCACAAUCAUCAUUGGGGUAUCUAGUUUAAAAAAUGUGUGGCAUGACCCAGCCAACCAACCAAGAUGGCCGCCAUGGCUAAAAAUAGAACAUAGGGGUAAAAUGCAGUUUUUGGCUUAUUACUCAAAAACCAAAGCAUUUAGAGCAAAUCUGACAUGGGGUAAAAAUGUUUAUCAGGUCAAGAUCUAUCUGCCCUCAAAUUUUCAGAUGAAUUCGACAACCCGUUAUUGGGUUGCUGCCCCUGAACUGGUAAUUUCAGGGAAUUUUUGCUGUUUUUGGGUAUUAUCUUGAAUAUUAUUAUAGAUAGAGAUAAACUGUAAACAGCAAUAAUGUUCAGCAAAGUAAGAUUUACAAAUAAGUCAACAUGACCAAAAUGGUCAGUUGACCCCUUUAGGAGUUAUUGACCUUUAUAUUCAAUUUUUAACCAUUUUUCGUAAAUCUUAGUAAUCUUUUACAAAAAUCUUCUCCUCUGAAACUACUGGGCCAAAUUAAUCCAAACUUGGCCACAAUCAUCUUUGGGAUAUCUAGUUUAAAAAAUGUGUGGCAUGACCCAGCCAACCAACCAAGAUGGCCGCCAUGGCUAAAAAUAGAACAUAGGGGUAAAAUGCAGUUUUUGGCUUAUAACUCAAAAACCAAAGCAUUUAGAGCAAAAUGUGGUUAAAGUGUUUAUCAGGUCAAGAUCUAUCUGUCCUGAAAUUUUCAGAUGAAUCGGACAACCAGUUGUUAGGUUGCUGCCCCUGAAUUGGUAAUUUUAAGGAAAUUUUUGCCGUUUUUGUUAUAUCUUGAAUAUUAUUAUAGAUAAGAGUAAACUGUAUACAGCAAUAACGUUCAGCAAAAUAAGAUCUACAAAUAAGUUUACAUGACCAAAAUAGUCAAUUGACCCCUGAAGGAGUUAUUGCCCUUUAUAGUUAAUUUUUAACAUUUUUCAUAAAUUUUUGUAAAUUUUUUAGAAAAUAUUUUCCCUGUAAUUACUGGGCCAAGUUCAUUAUAGAUAGAGAUAAUUGUAGCAACAAGAAUGCUCAGUAAAGUAAGAUCUACAAACACAUCACUAUCACCAAAACACAAUUAUGUCAUGAAUUUAUCCAUGUCCAUUGUUUAAUAUGCACAAGACCAAGGUGAGCGACACAGGCUCUUUAGAGCCUCUAGUUUGUGUUUACCAUGUUUACCCUGUCUUAUUAGCAAAGGAGUAGGUGUUGCUGUUCAGAGAUGUGUUUUUUGUAAAAAACAAUUUUUUAAAAUAUUUAUAAAUUUUAGGAUUUAUUUUAGAUAAUAAAAAACAAUUGUAAUUAACCAAAUAAGAUCUGCAAAAAAGUCAAGACAUACAUGUGUCUAAAAAUUAUCAUUUGAUCCCUAAAAUUAAUUAAAUGCCCUUGUCUAUUUUCUUGAUAUUAUGGUAGACAGUUCAAAACUUUAAAUAGCUAAGACAAUUUUAUAUCUAGUUCUGGUUUUGUCUAUUAUCUUGAAUCAAUAGAUAUUUUUAUCUUAAAGUACAACUUGGUACAUGUUCAUGAAAUACAGUUUACAUGUACAAAAUGUAUUACAAUUUCAAGCAAAAUAAAAAAAAAAAGACUGCAGGUCUUUUAUUUGACAGAUAAGUCAAUCAGGCUCUCAUGAAUUUAGUAAUUUGUUUUUAAUGGUAAAACUAGUGAAAUAUUGAUAAGGUACCUGGGUUGAGUUCAAUAUCGUAGCAGCUACGUAGCUGCUAUCAAUAUCUAUGUAGCAACUAGUAGUAUAGCUACACGUUCAGUAGUCAAAAUUUACGUAGCACUACGUAGCUGCUACAACAUUGAACUCAAUCCAGUACUCAGUUAUGAUACAAUAAUUAAUUUUUUUAUUGGGAAAGAUUGCAUGAAAUGCAAUCAAAACUCUAUGUUACUGACUUGAUAUCUAAAGCUUCCAAGGCUUGUCACUACCUUUUUUGAUACACAAAAUAUAGUGCAUUGAUCAUAACAUACUAUACAUCCUAUCCAUGAACAUUUCCAUAAAAUUUAUCAGUGUAAUAUGUGCUCAGAUAUUCAAGUGACAAAACGAUGUUACACCUGUCAAGAAAAUUGCAUAACUUCUGCAAGGUGCAGGUAUCUAAUAUCUGUUCUAAAAAUAUUAAUGAUGUCAUUGUUAAAGCCAUCUUUUAAAAUUGGAGUUAUCACCCAUUGUCCAGAAUUGACAUGCUUUAUUGACAAUGCAAUAUUUAAUUUUACUUCCCACUGAUAAAUUAAAGCAAUUUAUUCCCUUCUGUGCUUACAAGCACUUUGAUUUUAAACUUUUUUUGAAGUAUUUGAUAAAUACAUUCAUUUUAUAUGCUUUAAUUUCAGACAAACAAUAAUUUUCAACAGCCAGAUAAUGUUGGGAAAGGUGGAUUUGGAGCACCUCAAAAGAAAUCUGCUCAGAAAAAUGUCCCAGAUAAGGCAAACCAUAAGAGGCCAGUCAACAGAAAACUUGGUGUUGAUGAUUUCAGAAUGGCUAUCACUAGAGGAAAUAUGGGUGUCAUCACAGAAUCUGUUGCUAAUGGUACAAACUUUUCUUUUUGUUUUUGUCUCGCCUGCAACAUUAGUCACAAAUUUUGUGACAUAGGGUUUGUAUUUGGUAGUGGCAGUGACAAUGUAAACUAUUUGUACAAAGCUUUAUAGUUCAGAAAGGUAGAUGCUUCAUACCUUAUAUGCGGUUACCAUAUGUUAUGGAGUUUAUGUAUGUCCUAUCUAUAAAGUGACAUUAGACUCCAACAAUCAAUGUUUAAUUUUUGAAUUUAUACAAUAUGAUAGCUUGUAUAUAUAUAGUUUAUAUAGAGUGUGUAUCCACUACAACAUAAUGUUUUCCCUCUUUCAGGUUUUGAUGUUAAUACUGUUUUGAAAUGUGGUUGGACUGGAUUGAUGUAUGCAGCCAAUUCAGCUAACAAGCAGAUCGUAGAAUUUUUGGUGAAUAAAGGAGCCAAUGUUAAAUGUCAUCAUGGUAAAAUAUUGUAAUUAUCAACUACUGUUUUCAAUAUUUACUGAAACAUGAUUGCAAUUUUCUUUAUCAAUUGUUUGUAAUAAACCUGUAGAUUUAUGCUUUUUCGGAUAUAUUAAAAUUGUUUAUGAUAUUCUUUUUGAAAAUAAUUUUGAUUGGAAGUUUGUAAGGAGUGGGGAUAUAAGCCUCAGUGGUCACUACAAGUCUAAGCAUAGAAAGUCCUAAAGAUUCACACUUUUGAAGAUUAAGUAUUAAGGUGUUCUAGAAGUCCUACAAUAAAAUUAGGGCCAGGAAUAAAAUGAAUAUUCAAUCAUUUCAAUUUGCAUAUUGGAAAUUUGCAUUUUAAGUUGUUUCCAUGCAAGAGGUCAAGAACUGUUCUACUUAUAAUUUUCACAUUUUGGUUGUAACUGAUGAAAAUUGAGAUCAUGUUUGAUUUCGAAAAUGUUUAAUUUUGCCAUUCAAGAGUUAUUUCCCUUCAUGGUUUCAUAAAAUGUGACAUUAAUAGUGACAAAAACAUGGUUUGCAGUCAUUUGAAGUCUUUGUCAUAUAUUCAGUUUAUAGUUUCUUAAUAACCAAGGCAUUUUAAGUUUUUUUCUGUGAUGAAUUAUAUCCAAAAUGAAUUUAAACAUUUUGUAGACACUUUAUGACUACAGAUAACAAGCUAAGACACUCAAUACUGACUUCAUUUUUAUAUGUCCAAAGACUACUAUUCAAUUUGAUUCUGUACAUUAUAAUUGAAAUUUCCAUCAGAAUAAGAAUAAAAUGAAAACUUCUCAAAGUUCAAUUGAGUUAGGUAAAAAGAAAGUGAAAGUUCUUUUCACAUUUUACUUUCACUUUCAUUAUUACUUUCACUAUCAGUUUUGCUUUUAUUUUCUGUUCCAAUUUAACUUCUACUUUCAUUUUCUUUUUCAACAUCUGUCAUUUUAAAGCCUGUAAACAGGAUUUAUACAACAGUUCACAUUGGAUAAUUUUUUUUAAAAUUUUGAUAUCCUGAUUAUCUCAGUUUCUUGCACCACAAUAAUAAAAGAGGGGCAUUAAGUAUUAACCUUACUUUUUCUCCCUCUCUUUUCAUUUGCUUAAGUAAUGGUUGGCCAAAUAAUUUUUUUUUCAAUUGUAUGGGAUUUGUAAACACAGAACAGGGGUGUGGAAAUGCUAUGCCCGACUCGCCCGACUCGUACAUUUGAACAACCGGACAAGUAAUUAUUUGUGUCUUGGUUGCCCGUGGACAAGUAAAAAAAUAUACAACAUGUACAAGACAAAGUUCAAAUCCAACAAAAAUAUAAAAUUAAUUUCAAAACGUAUAAAGAUGUUUAAUUUAUGUAAAAGAAACCAAUCUUCAGCAAGUAAAAACAUCAAUGUUCAUGACGAUAAAUAUUACAUGAUACUGGAAAUAGAUCGAUUACAAAAAUAAAUAAAAAUAAUCAUUUACCGGUUGUGUCAUUUCUUUAAAUUUUGUAUCGAGAUUCAGAUAGACAAAUACUUAAUAAAAAGCUGGGCAAGCAAGACAAAACGAAUCAUGAGUCGAGUAGAAAACCUUAAAUGCAAACGGAGGACACAGAGUAUUUAAAAAAAAAAGAAACGGAAGCGAGAAUCACUGUCCUCAAAUUUAGUAUAUUAUGUACCUGCUGGCUACAAUUUUUAUUCCAAAACUGCUGCAAAAUUGUCCUUUAUAUGUCAUUUCAUUGGUUGGUUUGCUGUUAGGUUUCUGUCCCACUGAUGUUAACCCAUUUCCUACUUUCCUAAUUUUUUACACAUAUAAACAAAUGGAUUUCAUUUGUUUGUGAUGCACAAUAGUGCUAAGUAAGAAUCAUAUAUUAGCUAACAAGAAAUACUUCAAUAUUUAUUGGGAUCAUCAGGGCAAGUAAAUUUGUUUCCGGACAAGUAAAAUUUUUAGUUUUACUUGCCCACGGACAAGUGCUCACAACAAAUAUUUCCACACCCCUGACAGAAGUUCAAAUUUUACAUAUUAUUUUAUGUGAAUUGUUUCUGUUUUAUACCCUUCAAUCAUGUCGAAAAUAGACCAAGGUCAGUUUUUUGUUAAAUUAAUUAAGCUACGAUUAUACUAAAAAUCCUUUGAAGUAUGCAUCAAGUAUUACUUUUGACUCAUUUGACAUUUGUCAUUCAGGUGUUAUCUGUGAUUAAGUUAUAUCUGGUUAAUCUUUUUUAUAAGCCUAACAAAAGUUGUUUGGAGCCACACUGACCAAGUAUUCUAAGAAGUUUAUCUACAAUGUUAGAUAGCUUGUCAACACGUAUGCUGCGAGUUUGAACUAUACCUGUUGUGAGAUGUGUUUGGCUCCCAUCUUAACUUACAAUGAUUUCCAUUUUUCCUGCCGAAGGACCGUUUUAUUUCCUUCCACAAUAUAAAUGGUGACCAUGCCAUUCACCGUCAUGGUGAAUGUUGUUAGCUAGUGACCAGUAAACACAGGUUGAAUUUGAUUUGUUUGCAGUUCCUGGGUUAUGAAUUUCGACUAUGCAGAUAUUAACUACUGUAAAUUCAGAAAUUAUUGCGUGCAUUUAUUAUUGCGAUUUUGUCAUUUUGAAAUGAAAUAGUACUAUUAGCAGUUUAAAAUCUUUUACAAAUUAUGCCAAAUUAGAUUUAAGCUCAAAUUUUAAACUUUAGAUAUUCUAGAUCUCUUCAUUUGAAGCUGAACUGACCAAUACGAAGAUAGCUGAAGGACGCCUCCAGCUGUGGGAAUUUCCCGCUGCAUUGAAGACCUGUUGGUGAACUUCUGCUGUUAUAUAUAAAUGCAUCUCCUUAUUCUCAUAUAAGAGAGUGGACCCCUGGAAAGAGUAGAGUAUGAGUAAUGUUAAUGUUUUAUAUAGCAGUGUCUAAUAUAUUUCACAAUGAAGAUACCAAAUGACAAUUUCAUAACAUUUUGAUUUUCUCACUUUAUUUUAGAUAUGUUUAAUGUACUAAUGGCAGCAUGUUCAUCCACAAACAGUAAUCAAGAAAAUGUACUGUCCUGUGUAACAAUACUUAUAGGUGCAGGGGCAGAUGUUAACAGUCAUGAUAGGUAAAUAUAUGGUCAUUUGUUAUAUAAAAAUAAGAAGGUGUGGUGUUUAAAAAAAACAUAUUCAUGUUAGUAUGGGCCUAUAAUGAAGGUAUCUGAGAUAUAAACAAAAAAUAAAAGUAUGUUUCAAAUUUAAAGAAAUAGGAUUUUGUGAAGUUUGAGUAUACUAUGAAUCCUAUAUCCACUUGUUCUUUCCAUAGAGGCAUAUAAAUUGUAAAAAUAAAUUUUUAAUGUUUGAAAUGUAUAUUUCAGAUACCACAUGUCGCCAUUGAUUUAUGCCGCCAGGGAAGGGAGAGAACUUGUAGUAGCUGAAUUAUUAGAAUGUGGUGCAAAUGUUAAUAAACAAGAUAGUAGAGGCUGGUCUGUAAGUAGAAGAUUUGUAUAUAGCAGUUAUUUAUGUAUAAUUAUAUUAACAAUUAUUGCUUUGCUAUUUUGUGAAAAGGUGUAUGUUAUUGAAACUAUGUACCAAGAUUUUUUUAUCAUUUAGAUUGUGUUGAACCCAUUCACUAGGAGUAAGGGCUAUAUUGUUGAGAUAGGAUAAAUAUCAUAUUGCACGGUGGUGGAAUGUGUUUCUCUAAUGGUUUUAAACGAUAUGCAGACAAUCUUAAUCACAUUUCAUUUUUAAUAGAUUUAUUGUUGAUGUAAAACAAGUUUUCAUUCAACUUUAGGCACUGAGUUGGGCCGUUAGUAAAAACCAUGUGAAAGUUGUGAAGGCUUUAUUGAACCGUUGGCCUGAUAUGAGUAUAAAACAAUGUGAUGGACAAACACCUCUGGAUCUAGCUGUCUCCCAACAAAAUGAUGAGGUAAGAAGAUUUUACUGAAAACCUUCAAGAUACAAUUUUUAUACCCCAUGUAUGAUUAUUAGGUUUUUAUACCCCAUGUUUGAUCAUUAGGUUUUUAUACCCCAUGUAUGAUCAUCAGGUUUUUAUACCCCGUGUAUGAUCAUUAGGUUUUUAUACCCCAUGUAUGAUCAUUAGGUUUUUAUACCCCAUGUAUGAUCAUUAGGUUUUUAUACCCCAUGUAUGAUCAUUAGGUUUUUAUACCCCAUGUAUGAUCAUUAGGUUUUUAUACCCCAUGUAUGAUCAUUAGGUUUUUCUAUGCAUCAGAUUGUUUGUUCAUCUUUCUUUCCCGCUUCAGGUUAAUGUUUUUGGUCAAGGUAGUUUUUGAAGUCAAAUCAAUUUGAAUCUUAGUACACACUUUCCAUAUGAUAUGAUCUUCUAAUUUUAAUACCAAACUAGAGUGGCAACCCCAAUUUUAUGGUCCACUGAACAUAAAAUGAUAGUACGAGUUGGGCACAUUUUUGUAUUUAUCUAGCCUGCAGUGAAAGUCACAGACGUGAGGCAUAGGCCAGCUGUUUCUGGUGUCAGGAGUUAUUUAAGUCUGUGAUAAGGUCAGAUUACACUUAUGGUAAAUCAAUGAUAGUUGGCCAUGGUAUACAGUUAAAUAAACAUUGAUACAUAUAAAAUCCAUAGGGAUUAGUUGAUGCCAUAUCCUGGGUCAUGGUCCAUUCCUGUUUUUGCAUUGUUUACAUUUUAAAAAGUUUGUGAUUAUAUCCCUAUGAAGGGUGCUGCUUACAGUAAGUCAAUGACCUGUAAUAGCAUGAAUAGAUUUCCGUGGAGAAUAUUUGACUCCCUCCUCUCAGUGAUAGUACAUUGACUUUGCAAAUUAUGCAGAGUUACAUGUUCAAGUUUGUUACCAGGUCAGUAUUUGGAUACUCUAUAAUGGUUGAUCAAUGAUAUUUGGUAUGCACAUGUAUUAGUAUUGGUACAUCACAUAUCCAUGAAAAUUGUUUUAUCCUCCCCAUGAGUAAUGGUUCAAUGAUUUUGAAACUUUGCAAAUGUUACAUAAGAAAUUGUAAUUAGAUUGAUGUUAUAUGAGAUAUCAUAAGGAACAUAGUUAAACAUCUGUGUUGCUAGAAAGAUUUCAACAUUUGCAUUGUUCUAUUGAAUACACAUAAAGGAGAUACAUCUCUGUGUCAUCAUUUAAUUAUAUGUCAAAAAUUGCCUUUCUAACCACCUUGCCAGCAUACUUGUUGUGAGAUGUGUUUGAUACUGUGAAUUUGUUUAUUUUCCAAAGCCAAUCUGUUUUAGACGAUUAAUGUUUAAAUUUUUCUUGUCCUUGAUUUAAUAUCUUUCUUAUUGAUUGAAUUUAUGCAAAGAAAAAUUAACAUAUAUGAACUCCUUGUAUUAAAUGACAUUGGAAAGGCACAUACACCUUGUAGGAUAAAACUAUAUAAUCUUGGUUGUAGUAUAUUGUACCCCUUUACCAUGAUCUAUGGUCAAAUCAUGUAAAUGUUAUUCUUUUAUAUUAAUCAGUGGUCAAAACAAAUUUCCCCUCCAAAAAGAUGCAAAAACUGAUAAAAAAAAAAAAACGAUUAAAAGCAACAAUUUAUUUUUUAGUCUUGUCUUCAAAACAUGAAUUCUUAAUAAACCUUAGUCAAUUAGCAAAAAAAAACCACUCUAAAUAAAUGUGAAGCAAAAUGAUUCUUCCAUUAUGAUUAUAUAUUACUUAGAAAGAAAAUGUUAACUAACACUUCAAAUAUAUUGUUUUAAAAGCUGGUAGCAUUGCUGGGAGGAGAAGUAAAAUCAAACCGUAUAGAAGCAUCAAAAUUAGGGGCCGUGGAAAUCACAGAGCUUGUGUAUGAUGAUGAAUAUUAUGAUGAACUUGGUAUUGACCCACAGUGAGUAGUGAAUAACUUUUAAUAUCUUCCGUGUUAUAUAAGCCCAUUUUUUUUAAAAUAUGCAAUUGCAAUUAUACUGAAAAUAACAAAGUGUUUUUAGCUAUUUCUGACCUUGUAAGCCCAUUGCUAAUAAUCAAGCAAUUGAUGUGUUCCUAACCACAGGAAGAAGUUACAGAAAGAAGAAAAGAAUUAGGAUUUGAAUGACCUUAUUUAGUUUGAUUUAAAAUUUCUAGUGUUAAAGUCAUAUGAAACCUCAAAUUAAAAAAAAGUUAUACAUAUGUUUUUUAUAACAAAAUGGAUAGUUGUCAUUAUUAAACUUAUGAACAUAUACUUUUUCUGAAGAAAAUUCUUUUAUUGGUCCAUAUUUAGAAGAAGUUUACUGUUUUAAAUUACUUGCUUCCAGUAAUCAAUUCGCCGACAUAUUUUCAGUAUUCAAAGUGACCUUAGCGUGACCCUUCUUGUAACAUUCUGGUGAUCAUAAUGCACAUGGAUCUGUCACUGAAAUAAACUAUUAUCUGAUUGUACAUGUUAUACACAUGCUCAAUAUCCAUGCUUCUUUGUUGAUGGUUUACUAUAAGGUGACAAUCAGUAAACUAUGGCUUUAAAACGUGACAAUUAAUGAGCUGCCAUAUUUUCACUUCAUAACAGACAGAGAGGGAAAAUAAUGACGAAUAUACGAUAUUUUUGCGUGAAAUAUGAUAAAAUAGUGCACAGAAGACUAAGUUUAUGAUAUAUGAAUGCAUUGGUUCAAGAAUUGGAUAAACUUUAUAUUUCACCAGUCACUUGUUUCAAACUUUUAAGGAAAAAUGUUUAGAAAUGUGUGUUUGAGAGAAUGGAUUUGUUUUGACACUAUUAAUGAUGAAAUUUAAAGAAUUUAAAAAAUAAAACUCUCAGUAUAAUUUUCAUGUAAUAUGUAUAUUGUAGAUGUGUGGUAAAGUAUGGAGAAUUGGAAUUAUUUUUGUGUGGUUUAGACUUAAGUCGUUAUAUAAGCUUGUUUCAGAAGCAACAUCUAGACUUUACCACAGUAUUGCAUAUGACAGACGAGGACUUAAUAAAGGUAAAAUAUCUUUACUAGACAGUACUUAUAUCGCUGAUUAUUAUGUAAAUCAAUGAAGAGAAUGUAAAUAAGUAAACCACAGAUGGCUAAAUAUGAGGUAAAGUAUCCUUGAAAAUAAGAUGACUUACAACCUUUUUAUUAUUGUAAAUCUCUGCUAACAAUUUCUUAUAAAAGUAACAAAAGUGUCCUUAUUUAGUGCUAUAAAUAAAUCUUCAAUUUUCGCUGGAUUCAAAACUUUUUUCAGAUGGGUAUUCAUCAGAUUGGUGUAAGAAAGAAAAUAUUGGAUGGUAUUAGAACUGUUCAUAAGAAAGAAUGGGAGACAACAAGUCUUCAACAAGUACAAUACAACAAACAGAUAAGGUAAGGGGAAUAACUCUUCUGAUAAGUGUGUUAUUUAUACUCCACUGUAAGGAUGUGGCUAUACUGCGUUUACUUCUUUUCCAUCCAACACAUAUUUUUCUCUUUUUCUAGUUUUUCUCAGGCAACACUGACUUUAUAUUUGGUCAGCAGUUUGACAGUGAUGAGUUGUAUGCCAUUUUUGUCUGAAAAAAACGUUCCCAUUUUAAUGCAACAUUCACUGAAAUUCAGAACCUUUAGUUAUAUAAAUAUUUAAGAAAGAAUGACCUAUGCUUAUAUACAAUAUUUAGAAUAUGACCCAUGCUUAUAUAAGCACUAAAUCAAUAUCACCACUCAUAAUUCAUUAAUGUACAGCGACCCGUAAGUUUUUUAUAUAAUUGACAUCAUUUGGUGCACAUAUAUUUUAUUGUUAUAUAUAUAUAUAUAUAUGGCAAUUUUGUGUCACGAUAUCUCAGUAGCAUGGGUUCGAAUCCCGGCGAGGGAAGAACAAAAAAUUUGCAAAAGCAAAUUUACAGAUCUUACAUAUAUACAACUCGUCUAAACAUCAACCCAACAAUGUUAGAUCUGUAAAUUUGCUUUUGCAAAUUUUUUGUUCUUCCCUCACCAGGAUUCGAACCCAUGCUACUGAGAUAUCGUGACACCAAAUCACCUACACUGUAGCCGUCCCGCUAGACCACAGGACCACCUUGGCUUCAAAAUGAAGCUUUCAGUGGCCGGAUGUUACCUUUCCACGUCAGUUUUAAUCUAGCAUUGUACUACAGUACAUGAUAUAUAAGGCAUGGAGAUGUUAUUUUUACAGAUCAGCUAAAUUAUCUAUAGUGAUCCGAUGGAUAAAUCUUUAGUAGAGUUGUCACUGGCUCAUACAUACUUAUAUUAUAUCUAUGCAAGGUUGAUGAACUUUCAAAUGAAUUGAUUUAAAUUAAUAUGAUAAUCGACCAUUAAUAAUGUAAGAUUAUCAAUGACAUAUUUAUAUAAUGAAAUGCCCAAUGAUAGGAAGUAAACCUUUCCUCUUCCUGUACAAACUUUAACAGCCCUUGCAAUAUUAUUAUUUGUACAGUAUGUAUUACAUCAGAUGUUAUACUUUCAAAUUAUAAUUAUGAUCCCCACAACUUUAAAAACAAAAAUGAAAGCAAACUUUUAUUCAGCCUGGAAAAAUCUACCUGUCUAAUCUAAGAGACAUUUAUGGGAAAUCCAGACUGUACAAUUGAAACUCAAUAAUCUCUAAUGACUUCCCAACAUUUUUUGUGAUUUUUUUGAGUCGGAGAUGAUAACAAUGAUACCUAAAAGAGGCCAAAUGUUUACAGUUUCUCACUGUUUUGGCACAAUGUUUGAUUAAGAAAGUCAGUUAUGAUGUUAUUUCUUAAAUGACAUCAUCUUCAUCAAAACAUAGUGUUCGGAUAUAUUGAUAUCACGUUGUCGUUGUCACCAACCAUGUUGUCAGAAGCCAUUUGGUUUCUGGACAAUUCCUUUAGUAUAAGUGAAUAGAAAUCUAUGAAAUUUAAACACAAGGUUUAUAACCACAAAAGUAAGGUUGGGAUUGGUUUUGUGGGUUUUGGUUCUUAAAGUUAAAGAAUUAGGGGCCAAAAUGGGGCCCAAAUAAGCAUUUUCUAGUUUCCAGACAAUAUCUUAUGGAAUGGUGUAUGGAUCUCUCUGAAAUCAUACCAUAUGGUUCAAUACCAGAAAAGACUUUUAAUUUUUUUUCAACAGCAUAGUGUAUUGUACAAUAGCAAAAAAUUGAAUAUAAAUUCAAAUCAUAUAACAAAUUAUAGGUUCAUUGACUACAGUUAUUUUGGGUCAAAUAUUUAAUUACAAUCCAAAUUCAGAGCUGUAUCUAGCGCAAAUAUUGUGUCCCUUUUUGCCCCAACUGUUGAGGGUUGGACCUCUGCAGUCAUAUCCAGCUGUGCUCUGCGAAGCAAUUUAUUUCAUUUCCAGUUUUUUUCGUAUCUGUAUUUCAAAGUUUGUUGUUUUUAGAAAUUAAUUUUCAAAUUAUUGUUAGAUAUUACUGGUAUGUUAUUCUGUCCUGUAUAGCUGUAUAUAAGCUGAUAACAUGUCACUUUGUCUUUCAUAGCUGUGCUGAAUCUAUUGCCAUGGUAGCUAACAUCAGUAAACAUUGUAAAUAUAUUGGAAGCACAACUGGAUACAUAAGGGACCAGAUUCUAAAGAAUCCAGAAAUUCUAGAUGUUCAGGUAUAUUUUUUUAAAACUUUUUACUUAAACUAUUUAAAUGCAAAAUAUUGCCUAAAGUUAAUUUUGUUUUGUUUUAAAGAUUAUCUUAGAAAUCUUGUGGCUUUAUAUAUACAAGAUUUUGUAAACAAUCCUUUACCAGAGAAAGUUUAUCCCUGUAAAAUCUGCUGUUACCAAAUCAUAUUUUCAUUAUUUUUAACACUUUUUAGCUCACCUGGCCUAAAAGGCCAUGUGAGCUUUUCUCAUCACUUGGCGUCCGUCGUCGUCGUCGUCGUCGUCUGUCGUCGUUAACAAUUUUUCAAACAUCUUCUCCUCUGAAACUACUGAAUGGAUUUGAAUGAAACUUAAAAUGAUUGUUCCUUAGAUUAUCCUGCACAAAGUGUGUGCUUCGAUUUUUGAUCCGUCAAAAAACAUGGCCGCCGUUACUUAAAAUAGAACAUAGGGGUCAAAUGCAGUUUUUGGCUUAUAUCUCAAAAACGGAAGCAUUUAGAGCAAAUCUGACAUGGGGGUAAAAAUGUUCAUUAGGUCAAGAUCUAUCAGCCCAGAAAUUUUCAGAUGAAUCAAACAAACCAUUGUUGGGUUGCUGCCACUUAAUUUGGUAAUUUUAAGGAAAUUUUGCAGUUUUUGGUCAUUAUCUCUUGAAUAUUAUUAUAGAUGAAGAUAAACUGUAAACAGCAAAAAUGAUCAGCAAAGUAAGAUCUACAAAUAGGUUAAUAUGACCAAAAUUGUCAAUUGACCCCUUAAGGGGUAAAUGUCCUUUAAUGACAAUUUUUCACAAUUUGUUCAUCAUAUUUGCUAACUUUAAAAAAUCUUCUCCUCUGAAACUACUGAAUGGAUUUGGAUGAAACUUAGCAUGAUAGUUCCUUAGAUUAUCCUGCACAAAGUGUGUGCUUCGAUUUUUGAUCCGUCAAAAAACAUGGCCGCCCUUACUUUAAAUAGAACAUAAGGGUCAAAUGCAGUUUUUGGCUUAUAUCUCAAAAACGAAAGCAUUUAGAGCAAAUCUGACAUGGGGUAAAAAUGUUCAUUAGGUCAAGAUCUAUCAGCCCUGAAAUUUUCAGACGAAUCAAACAAACCAUUGUUGGGUUGCUGCCACUUAAUUGGUAAUUUUAAGGAAAUUUUGCAGUUUUUGGUCAUUAUCUUGAAUAUCAUUAUAGAUAAAGAUAAACUGUAAACAGCAAAAAUGAUCAGCAAAGUAAGAUCUACAAAUAGGUUAAUAUGACCAAAAUUGUCAAUUGACCCCUUAAGGGGUAAAUGUCCUUUAAUGACAAUUUUUCACAAUUUGUUCAUCAUAUUUGCUAACUUUAAAAAAUCUUCUCCUCUGAAACUACUGAAUGGAUUUGGAAGUGUUUGUGUUUUGGUCUCAUUUUCUUUAUUUAUAAACAGUAAGUCAUAUAUAUUUGUAAUAUUGAAGAAUUGUUAGCUGUACAUGUUUGCCUGGCAUGGUUCAAUAUGUUCAAUAAGGCAUUGUUUACCAGGUGAGCGAUUCAGGCUCUUGAGAGCCUCUUGUUUUUACACAGGAUGGGACAGGACCUGAAUUACUUUUACAACAUACAGAUGAUACAAUGAAAAAUGUACAGUCUCUAUAUACAGAACUACAGAAACUUACCAGAACUUUAAAUUUGGUAAAUAUUCUAUAUUCAUUGUUUUAAGGAUGUCUUAGUGUGAGAUUUUGUUCUACUUAAUUUUAUAAGACAAUGUUGAAAACGAUAUUACACCUGAAAACUUAAUCACCUAAUGAACAGCAUUUGAUUAUUACAUAAGGUUUAUGUCAGAUCAAAACUGUGUGACUGCUUCCUUUUAAAAAACAUACAAUUUAUUCUUAUAUAUAAGACUACAGCAAAAUUAAUCAAUCUGAAGAAUUGAUAAAUUUAUGAACCAUACCUUUAAUUUUUUUGCGUGCAGGUGUAUUUUUUUCAACCAAAGAAGUAUGUCAAUAAAAUUGUAUCACUAUAUAUGGUAUAUAGUACAACAUAAUUGGCAAUUCUUAUGAAAUCAAUAUUUGUGGAAUUGGAAAAGGGGGACGAAAGAUACCAAAGGGACAGUCAAACUCAUAAAUCUAAAACUAACUGACAACGACAUGGCUAAAAAUGAAAAAGACGAACAAACAACAGAACACAUGACACAACAUAGAAAACUAAAGAAUAAACAACACGAACCCCACCAAAAAACUAGGGGUGAUCUCAGGUGCUCUGGAAGGGUAAGCAGAUCCUGCUCCACAUGUGGCACCCGUCGUGUUGCUUAUGUGAUAACAAAUGCGGUAAAUAGUCAACUUCAGUAGGUCACAUUCAUGAAAGGGAAAGGGAUUGUAGUUACGACGUUAGGAACAUAUCCGAUAUCAUUUGUGAAAUGGUUAUUCCAUACGGUCAACCAACUCAUGAUGGCGUCCGUAAAAUUUACGAAGGGAUGAUACUUGUCCAUUAAAAAAAUUAUAUAAUUACUUUGGCUUUAAACACUGGCGUCAAUGUGAUGAUCGUAACUGCAAUUACGAUCAUCCCAAUAUGGCGGACACAAAUAUAGGGAUAUUUCAGAAGGCUGAUUUCUCCACUUUUAACAGUUUAUUUUCAUAUUUGUUUAAUAUCAAGAAAAAUCUUUAUAUUGCCAUUGAAUGUGUUUUUCGUAAAUUAUAGAAAAACAACCAGAAGAACGAAAAUCGAGAUUCAAAAAAUCACGAUGAUGAUCGUAACUUCGUCUGUAGAUGAUCGUAACUUUGACUUGUUUUUAUAAAAAGAUGAUCGUAACUCAAAAUUUAUAAAUGAUUUUUUUCACUCAAUGAACACCCUAUUUAGCAGUCACGAUAAACAAAAUGUGAUUUUAAAAUUAAACAUAGAAUAAAUGAAAACCGCUAUUCUAAAAAGAAAUGACAUAAGAGGAUUAGCAGACAUAUAUGUAAAUGUCCGGACUAUUAUUUUCUUAUGAGUAAUUUAGUUAAUAUUCAAAAUGGAUUUACGUUGAUAUAAAUAUCAUUCUCAUGAUACAGUUUUUAAGAAUACAGGCAGGCCAAAACUUUCACUGAAUAAAGUAAAGGCAGGCAUGAAGUUACAUUAUUUUGAUGACUUUCUAACGGUUUUUAAUUGUUGCUUGGCCUUGUUUUUUUCUUAAUCAAACUAUGACUAUUAGUCAUUGAUAGACUACAGAGGCGGACUUAGAGGGAGGGUCAAGGUGCUCGCAUCACCUUUUUGUUGGGGAAAUUUGGUUGCUUGUAUAGGGAAUCAAUGAAAAAUGACUGUAGCGGGCCUACUCUUAGGCAGCCAGUCCCCCAUCCCUUUAUGAAAGCUCUGAAUACGCCACUGGACCACUGUUGCCUAUAUUUACCAUGGGUUGGCUAUUUAUUUAAAGAAGGACAAGUUAAACUAGAAUUGCCAUUGCAAGCAAUAGCAGAUGUCACCCUUCCCCUAUUGCCACUAAGCGGCAGCCAUUUCAAAACAAUUUAAUGGUGAAUUCAGAUCUAUGCAUUGCAAUAUAUCUUGCUGUAAAUUUUCAGUACAUUUAGAACAUUGCCAAAAGUUUCACAUUUCUGCUGUUUCCAUGGCAACGGCAGCCAUUUUGAAAAUUCCAAAGUCAAAAGUCUCAUUUAUACAUGCCAGUUAACAAUAAUAUUAAGUUUCAUUAAGUUUGGAGCAUUUUAAAAAUAUUUGACAUUUUCCCAGUUUCCAUGGCAACGGUGGCCAUUUUGGAAAUUCCAACUUCAAAAGUCUUAUGCAGACUUGACAGUCAACAAUCAUGUACAGUUUCAUCAAUUUUGGAGCAUUUUGAAAUUUUUGAAAUUUUUGACAUUUGUGAUGGUUCCUAUGGCAACAGAGACCAUUCCCAAAAUUUAAUGGCAUAAAGCACAUUGGUACAUGGGAGGGAACAUACCAUCAAAGUUUCGAUGGAUUUGACCUACCAUUUUAAGAAAGUAAAUGCCACUUUAAGGUUUUUGGAUCAUUUUGACCUGUUUUGCAUUGUUUCCAUGGUAACAGCAGACAUUUUCGAAAUUCCAACGCCAAAUUCCACAUCUACCAAUGUUGCUCAUUGUUACUGUGAAGUUCCAAAAAAUUUGGAGCAUUUUGAUAUUUUUGAAAUUUUUGGUGCAGUUUCCAUGGCAACAUAGUAGUUCCAAUGAUUGCCAAAAUCAUCCAAAAACCAGUAUAUGCCGGGCACCUACAUUGUAUUAAAAUAUAAUGAUUCUAAGUUUAAGCAUGUCCAAAUAAUUCACCAAAACCAAAAACUGGAAUUUUUCACAUUUGUUCCGUUUCCAUGGUAACGGCAGCCAUUUUUAAUGGUCUUAAGACCUACAGUUACCCAAAAUUUUGUGUUCCCUAUUAUACUUAACUAUCAUUAAGAUUGGUUCCAUUGGCUCCGAGAAAACUGGCGGACAAAAUAGGUGGAAGAAUAAUAAUAAUAAUACAGAAACAGAAACAGAGGAAAAGCAAUAUGUCACCCGACAUUGUCGAUCGGGUGACAUAAAUAGAUGGUAUACAUGUUCAUAUAAGAUUUUUCAAGCUACAAAUCCUUACAUUUCUACGGUAUAUGACAUGUGUUAUUGAAGUUAGUCGAAGAAGUUGUGUUAAGCCAAACAUAUCAAUAAGGGAUCUACCAUUUGAAUUUUAUAAGGGGGGUGAAAUUUGGCCGAAAAGGCACGACACAGGAGAUUUGAGUAAAAAAAGGCCGGAUGAACAUCUUGGCCAAACAAAAAAGCAAGAUGACAAUUUAUGUUAAAAUAAUCAGGAUUGAAAAAGCAGGAUCGAAUAGAGUAAAAAUAAAAACGCAGGAUAGAGAUUUCAACAUAAAAAAAUGCAGGACAAAAUUAUUCAUCCUAGCCCCUCCCCCAAAUAAAAAUCAAUAGUAGCUCCCUUUAUUGACGGUUUCAUUGGUUUUUUUUUUCAUUCAACAGAUAUGAUUACACUUCUUAAUGCUUUAUUUUUUUCAACCUCUCCUUUAAAAAUCGUAAAUCUGUUAAUAAAAGAAACUAUACAGUCUGAAUUCCCCAAAAAUACCAGAUCCUCGAAAGGUACUAUUGUCCCUAUAAAGUGUAGGGGGAAAAAAUGAAAAAAAAUCUCCAAUUUUAACAAACUGGUCAUUAAUAUGAACUGUCCAAUACCUUAUUUAUAUAAAACAUAUGAAAUCAAUAUAAUGUUGUUAACCCCCAAUGCAUUUUAAUAUUAAACUAAAUAAAAAAUAAAUAUGAAAUCGCGCGAAGUCAUUACCAUUUGUGCACUUACCAAUAGGACGUUACCCUUCCCUCAGUGAUCGUUCCUCAUUAUUAUCACAAUAUCAGCUGAUAACGUACAUCUAUUCGCAUAUACUAGACAGCUUUAUUUGUCCUUAUUUAUCAGAAAAUGCUUUGUUGAACCAGACAGUUACGAUCAUCUUAAGUAAAAGUUACGAUCAUCGUUGAUAAAAAUAAAUAACAGUUACGAUCAUCAUCGUGAUUUUUUGUUUCUCGAUUUUCAUUCUUGUUGUUGCUUUUCCAUCCGGUCCGAAAAAAUAUUUCAAUGGCAAUGCUUAUAAAGAUGUUUCUUGACAUAAUACAAAUCUGAAAAUAAGCUGUUAAAGUGGAGAAAUCAGCCUUAUAAAAUUUCCCUAUAUUUGUGUCCGCCAUAUUGGGAUGAUCGUAACUGUAGUUACGAUCAUCACGUUGACACCGGUGUUUAAAACUUCAAGAAAAGAUGUAAAUAUAGAUUUUUUUGUAUGACAUGCUUAUGGCAGUAGUAUCGUGUUUCUGGUCUGGAUGUCGAUAUACCUUUUUAACAAUGAAGUUGUGGUCACAUCAAUUGACACUUAGUACAUCUGUUCUAUAUUAUGUGAACUUUUAAAAUAUAUCCCAAAUCAGGGUUUUGACCCAGUGUUCAUGGUCUACUGAGCAUAGAAAUAGUAAUUUGCUUAAGAUAGUUAAACUUAAAGUUGUAGUCUUUUCAAAUUGAAACUUAAUGCACAUGUUUAUUGUGUAUUGAACUUUUAAAAUUAUACGCCAAAUUAUAAUUUUAACCCUGAAUUCAUUGGUCAAUGAAAUUAUUGUCAUCUGAUAGGGAGAGCAAGGCAUUCCGUCCUACAUAUUCUUGUUUAAAAUAUGACCAAAGAAUAAAACACAUACUAAACGUUAAUUUUAGAUAUCGUGAAAGAGUAAUUUUGAUUUAUAGUAAAUAAAAAGUUAUAAUAUGUUGUUGUUAUUUUUUAGCAAUUAAAACGAAAAGACUUUAGUCCUCCAGAUCUUGUUACUUUAAAGAAGAAGAAAAGUGGUUUUAGAAAAAGACGAUUAGUAGGUGUAUGUUGUGUGACCUUUAUAGUAGGACUAGCCUGGUGGAAAAAACAAACUAUAUUGGACUUUAUAUCACAGUAUGAUCCAGUUGAUAUAGUUUAGUUUCACAACCCUGUACGAAUGAAGUUAUAAGAUAGAAGUUUAAGAAUUGCAGCAUAAGUGGGACCAACGUUUUUUCAUAAACCUAUAACUUUGUUUUCCGGAUCAUGUAAAAAUGUGUGUUUGUAGAGUGUGAUAGAUUUAUUAGGGAGUUGUUUAAUUUGUUUUUGUGACUGGAAUGUUUAUUUUCACAAUUGUUAUAUUUUGUGUCAUCAUUAUGAAACACUGUUUUAUUUACAAAAUGUGUUUCUUGAUUAUUAAUUGUUUAUUUAGGAUAGUAUUGAGUUACAAUAGAAAUAAGGUAAACAGUUUUAUUUCAAGCUGUAAAUUAAAAACUUUUUAGUGAAAAGUAGUUGCUAGACAUUGAACAUGUUGAAGGUAAACAAAAUAACAGAUGUCAGAUUAAAAUCAUACAAUUUAUUUAUUUAUUUAUUCUGAUAAACGAUGUUAAAAAUGUCUUUUGAAUUAACCCUAGUGUGGAGGUCAUUUCUAUGCUUGUUCAUCUAAACAGACUCAACCAAAUCAAAAUCAUUAAUCACCAGUUUAGAUCAGUUUUCACUUUCUUAAUAUCUGUCAUAGAAUUGUCUCUCAAUAUGUAUGAAAAAAACAAAAUCUUACUUUUCCCUUAGCAAAUUAUGUGUUUUGUUUAAUUAAUCAUAAUUCUGAAAAUUUUGUUAUAAGACAUAAUUUAGUUCUUUUACCUUUGAUUACAUUUGUCUGUCAUUAUUGAUGGUAUUUAUACCUCAAAUAAAGAUUUGUGUACAUAAUGUCUGCCUCUGACCAAGGACUUGUAUAGUGAGACUAUACAAAUCCUUACUCUGACUUAAUUUUUUUUCCAUUUUUUUCAUAGUAGAAAUAGUAAACAUGAUAUGAAACAUCACCAUUACCAGUAUGUUUGUAUUAGCGCUCUGAAGGAGAGUGGUAUACUAAUUUACCUCUAUGUCUAUCAAUCCAUUCAAAUUUCCGUCUUAUUUUCUCAGGAACUUCAAAUCAGAACUUUCCAUAUUUGGUAGCCAGCUUCAUGUAAGCAUGCUAAACUGUGAAAUACAUUUUCUAAUUCAAUGUAAAUUGCAUGUGAUAUUUCAUGUAAAAUUAAUUCUAAGGGAAAAUUUGUCUUCAUAUAUGAUACUGCCAAAAAAUAUAUGUAUAAGACUGAUUUUAUGAGUUGUUAAAGGAAUUCUAGUUUAGAUUGUAGAUAGCUCUCCUUGUUGAAACUUGUCGUCUAAAAUAUACUCAAAAGUUGAAUUUAAUCUAGUCGUUAAAGGGGGAUUCUAUGCACUCAUAAUAAGUUUGAAGAACUUUGUUCUUUUGAAGAUAAUUACAAAUAUAUGUACAUGUAAAUAGUGAAGUUAAUCCAAUCAAACACAUUGAAGAGUUUUUUAAUAAUUUUUAUAUUUUGAAAUAUGCCAUUUUCUUUGCCUUUUCACAGAAGGUAUCUUUUGUUAUGCAAUGUAUGUAGAAUGUUAUAUCUUUUUCAUUGCAUAUGGUUGUUGAAUUUUUGUUUAUUGGUUGAUAUUAAAAUGGUAUUUGUUGAUUUAACCAAUAAGUUGGUUUGUUGAUCCACUAUUGAAAAGAGGACAUAAUUCUGUCUCCGGUUGUUUGUCCUAGAAGAGGUUAAGAUAUACAUAAACAAGAUAACAGGAAUGAUUAAAAAUAUUGUUCAAUCACAACAACAAACAAGCAUCUAUACAAAUAAGGGUAGUCAAAUUUCUUUUUCAAGUGAUUCCAGGUAAAAAAUAAUUCAGAUUAAUUAAGGGUAGCCUAAUUUCUUUUUCAAGUGAUUCCAGGUAAAAAAAAAUGUAAAUGUGUUGUGGCGUUCAAGGUAUUUUGAUGUGAAAUACAUAUACAUUUGUAUAUAUAUGAACUUAUGGGUCAAAUUUAGAUCAAUACUUAGUUGAUGUUUUUUUUUCUGAAUUGCUUAGGGUAUAAAAUGGUUGUGUAUUAAAAUGCAGGAAGAUGUAAUGUUCUAGUGGGAAACACUGUUAUUUGCAAGUAUAUGUUUGUUUAUUUUUCAUUAAAGUGAUUUUAUCAUGAUUUUCCUUUAAUUUAAAACAAAUUUCACUUGUAUUGCAGAAUUAAAAUGUAUAUUACUGAUGACUUAUUGAUCUUAUAAACAAAAGAGUUGAGAUUUUUAAUCAAUAUGAUAACUCAUUCUUUAGAAGUAUUUUUCAGUUUACAUAUGUUUUUUUUUAUGUAUGAAAUGCAAUCUAUUGUCUGAUUUUUAUAUAAUACUGCUAACAAAUGAAUUAGGUUAAGUUUUUGAUUUUUUAUGGCCCCGCAACGAAGUUUUACUCUUGUCCAAAAUUCAGAAAUUCCGUCAUUCCGCAACAAACCAUUAUACAGAGUUUUUUUCUAAAACGCCUUCAGAUAUUGCGCUGAUUUUUGGUAUGUGAGUUAACCAUGAUGAGUUACAGGUCAAGUUAAAGUUAAGUUCUGCUCCGCUAAUUUUUGCUGAAAUUACGGGCUUUGGACUUUGAUAAAUGAUUGAAAAUAACAGUUAUACAGAUUCUUUUUCUAUAUGCCUCCAGAUUUUGAGCUGAUGUUUGAUAUGUGAGACUACCAUCAUGUUUUUGUCCACAUGUGUUUAUAUUGAAAUUGCAGAUUUUUCAACUUUUUGGGAUGUGGCCAUUUGUGUCGCUUUGACACAUCUAGUUUAAUGCCUGAUUUAUGAAAGGAAAGAAAUAAACCAGACAAUGUUUAUAAAUUUUUGUUGUUGAAUGAUUGCUGUAAAAUUUUAUACAUUUGUAUGUCUCAUAUGACAGGAAAAUUGUUAAAAGUCCCUGCACUGGAAAGAGAUUUAUUGGAUUAUUUGAUGUCACAAAUUUCUUUUGAAUAAAGUUGUUUUUCAAUAGUACAUUAAUUCUUUUUUUUGUAAACAACAAAGGACAGUGCCACUUUUACAUUUCACGUACUGUUACGUCUCAAACUAAAGCCAAGACCAUGGUGUUUGGUAAUAUUCUCAAAAUAAAAUAAAAGUCUUGCAUCUAUAUUUGUUGUCUCUGUGAAAGAAGGUGACAAAUUGCUUAAGUUGAAUUUCUUGUCUUUUUACUUGUUGUUUUGACUAAGACUUAUAAUAUUUGGUAUGCAAGUAAUGUGCUAUUGUAAAAGGCCUUGACCUUUGAAUUGAAGGUCAAAUACAGUGUAGAUGUAACUAAUGUUUUGGGAUAUUUUUGUAUCUGCCCA